rnacentral:lncRNA from 1 species
CAUUUCGUAAACAUGCUCAGGAAAGAGCAGAAUCACAAAUCACUGACUGUCAAGCAGAGUUAAACAAAGUGCAGGAGCCAUACUAUUUUAAAUGAGGAGCACAAUUGAGAGACCAUCAGACUGGACGUUUGGAGUAAAUAAAAAUUCAUUUCUGUCUCCCAGUAUUUUCCAAUAGCAAGAUGGAAGCGGGGAAGGGAGGACAGUAUUUCAAGUAUCUAACAGUUGUAUAACAAAGGGUUGCUGGACUAGGAAUUUAUUCGUGGAGUACCUGCUCUGUGUGAGACAUUGCGUGUGAAAACAAGCAGUACGAGACAUCUCAUACUUUCCUAGAGCAUUUGUCUGGGAAGACAUGAUACAGACUUUGACAAAAAAAAAAAAAAAAAAAAAAAAAUCAAGAGUGGGCAGUUCUUUGUGUUGGAUACACAGACAAAAAGUACUACCCAAUGGCAGCGGAGUGUCCAUUGGAAUGCACAUCUAUCAGAGUAGCCCCGAAACCAAGCAAGUGAUCUUCCAAUAUGGCCUUUUGGAACUCUCUGAGAGCCCUGAGAUGUCAAGUAAGAAGUUUGUCUGA